CCUACGGGUUGCACCAGUGGGGAAUAUUGCACAAUGGGCGCAAGCCUGAUGCAGCCAUGCCGCGUGUAUGAAGAAGGCCUUCGGGUUGUAAAGUACUUUCAGCGGGGAGGAAGGCGGUGAGGUUAAUAACCUCGCCGAUUGACGUUACCCGCAGAAGAAGCACCGGCUAACUCCGUGCCAGCAGCCGCGGUAAUACGGAGGGUGCAAGCGUUAAUCGGAAUUACUGGGCGUAAAGCGCUCGCAGGCGGUCUGUUAAGUCAGAUGUGAAAUCCCCGGGCUUAACCUGGGAACUGCAUUUGAAACUGGCAGGCUUGAGUCUCGUAGAGGGGGGUAGAAUUCUAGGUGUAGCGGUGAAAUGCGUAGAGAUCUGGAGGAAUACCGGUGGCGAAGGCGGCCCCCUGGACGAAGACUGACGCUCAGGUGCGAAAGCGUGGGGAGCAAACAGGAUUAGAUACCCGAGUAGUC
rnacentral:rRNA from 1 species